rnacentral:piRNA from 1 species
UACAGAUUUUGAAUAUGAACGUCUCAAA